rnacentral:lncRNA from 1 species
AGUACUGAGUCGCUGUGCAGGGGUACGAGGUAAUAACAAGGCUAUAUACAGUACCAGUACUGAGUCGAUGUACAGGGGUACGAGGUAAUAACAAGGCUAUGUACCAGUACUGAGUCGAUGUGCAGGGGUACGAGGUAAUGAGGCUAUAUACAGUACCAGUACUGAGUCGCUGUGCAGGGGUACGAGGUAAUAACAAGGCUAUAUACAGUACCAGUACUGAGUCGAUGUACAGGGGUACGAGGUAAUAACAAGGCUAUGUACCAGUACUGAGUCGAUGUGCAGGGGUACGAGGUAAUGAGGCUAUAUACAGUACCAGUACUGAGUCGCUGUGCAGGGGUACGAGGUAAUAACAAGGCUAUAUACAGUACCAGUACUGAGUCGAUGUACAACGAGGUAAUGAGGUAAUAACAUGGCUAUAAGGCCCAGUACUGAGUCGAUGUGCAGGGGUACGAGGUAACAACAAGGCUAUAUACAGUACAUAUAGGUAGGGGUAAAGUGACUAGGCAACAGGAUAGAUAAUAGUGUGUGUGUGUGACAAUUUUUUGGGCCCUUCCUCUGACCCCUGCUGGUGUAGAGGUCCUGGAAGGCAGGGAUCUUGGCACAGUGAUGUACUGUGCCAUUGUCAGAUGCCAAGCAGUUGCCAUACCAAGUGGUGAUGCAGCCAGUCAAGAUGCCCUCAAUGGUGGAGCUGUAGAACACACUGAGGAUCUGAGGGCCAAGUCUUUUCAGUCCACUGAUUCUCUCUGCUGUCGUGUACACUACAGGAACACUAUAGACGACAUGCUCUCUCUCUCUCUCUCUCUCUCUCUCUCUCUACCUCUCUCUCUACCUCUCUCUCUACCUCUCUCUACUUACCUCUCUCUCUCUACUUACCUCUCUCUCUCUCUUUACCUCUCUCUUUACAUUUCUCCCUCUCUCUAUUUAUAUAUGAUAUGUCAGCUGUUCAUAAAUAUCUUGUCCUCGUCAGCUCUUCUCCCAUCAGGUCACAUGGUAACUUGCUCGUAUUCCAUAUUCCAUUUUAGAUAGUACUUGGAGGGUUCAUCGGUUGCUUGUUGCAACAUUACUGAAGUUGAAUCUGGUCUGCUGGUAAUUUCAUCUCUGCCAAAAGGAGAUGUUAGAGGUAGUAUUUUUGAAUCACUGUAAUAUAAGUGUUCACAUUUAUGGUGCCCAUGUCACAUUGACCUUCUGCAGCGGCCAUCUUGUUUCG